rnacentral:rRNA from 1 species
AAAGGUAGCAUAAUAAUUAGUUUUUUGAUUGAAAGCUGGAAUGAAUGGUCGGACGAAAAAGUCACUGUCUCUGAUUAAUUUUAUAUAAAAUUUUAUUUUUAAGUUAAAAAGCUUAAAUGUUGAUGAAAGACGAGAAGACCCUAUAGAGUUUUAUAUUUUAGAUUAUAGUUUAAUUUUAGGAAUUUUAAUUUUACUUUUUUAUAAUAUUUUAUUGGGGUGAUAAAAAGAUUUGAAUAACUCUUUUUUUAUUUUUACAUUUAUUUAUGAUAAUAUGAUCCAUUUUUUAUGAUUACAAGAAAAAAUUACCUUAGGGAUAACAGCGUAAUCUUUUUAGAGAGUUCUUAUCGAAAUAAGGGAUUGCGACCUCGAUGUUGGAUUAAAGUUAAUUUUUGGUGUAGAAGCUUAAAUAUUGAGUCUGUUCGACUUUUAAAACUUUACAUGAUCUGAGU